AAUGUUGGGAAUCGAUCUGAUUCCAAGGAUUGAGAAGUUUUGCAGUGGUCAACUGGUAUAGACAUCCCAUUACCACUACUUCCUUCAUUGGACGGCAAGGUAUUUCUGUUUGGAAAAGUAAUGGAGUCCAGUCAACUUCAUUGAUCUCCAAGGACUGUCAAAAUUAUAAAACUUGCUGUGGAGCUCUGACAUGCCAGAAGCCGCUAGAAAAAGAAGUUUGACAUUCAGAAACUUAUCAAGAGGUUCUACUCUUUGGAUAGAGACCAAAAUCAUACUUUGAAUGAUAUGCAAUACAAGACUCCCAAGAUUCUGGGCAGUGGCAGGGAGGCGCAGCUUCUAGUCUGCCACAUGAUCACAAUGUCAGCUGGUCCCUCUUCUCAGGUGUAGAUCACCUAUUCUAAUUUUACCUAAUUUUGAUACUCUGAUAAGGAAAGUCCCAGGACUUAUCAGCUGGGAUAGGCCUCACUUACAAGACAGCUCUGUUCAGUAUUUGGAAGAAAGCCUGACAGGUUUCUUCGGAAAAGUGGCCAUCCAUGGAAUGAAUGAAAUGUUCUCUUUCUAUUCCACCUCUAGAGACCAUCAAAAAACAAUGGCUUAUAAUGCUUUUAGAACAGAAACUGAAGUUGUGUACUGUGCAUGUGUAAUCCUACACAAGAGGAAGGCAAUGUUUAAAGCUGCUGUCACCUCUUAGGGAAAAAACUGGAAUUCUGAGUCAA
rnacentral:sRNA from 1 species